rnacentral:rRNA from 1 species
GAUGAACGCUGGCGGCGUGCCUAAUACAUGCAAGUCGAGCGAACAGACGAGGAGCUUGCUCCUCUGACGUUAGCGGCGGACGGGUGAGUAACACGUGGAUAACCUACCUAUAAGACUGGGAUAACUUCGGGAAACCGGAGCUAAUACCGGAUAAUAUAUUGAACCGCAUGGUUCAAUAGUGAAAGACGGUUUUGCUGUCACUUAUAGAUGGAUCCGCGCCGCAUUAGCUAGUUGGUAAGGUAACGGCUUACCAAGGCAACGAUGCGUAGCCGACCUGAGAGGGUGAUCGGCCGCACUGGAACUGAGACACGGUCCAGACUCCUACGGGAGGCAGCAGUAGGGAAUCUUCCGCAAUGGGCGAAAGCCUGACGGAGCAACGCCGCGUGAGUGAUGAAGGUCUUCGGAUCGUAAAACUCUGUUAUUAGGGAAGAACAAAUGUGUAAGUAACUAUGCACGUCUUGACGGUACCUAAUCAGAAAGCAACGGCUAACUACGUG